rnacentral:rRNA from 1 species
AGAGUUUGAUCAUGGCUCAGAACGAACGUUGGCGGCGUGGAUUAGGCAUGCAAGUCGAACGAAUCCCAUUUGGGUAACUGAGUGGGGGAAGUGGCGAAAGGGGCAGUAAUACAUAGGCAACCUACCCCCGGGACGUGGAUAGCCGGUAGAGAUACCGGGUAAUACGCGGCGAGUCAGCGGGAAGGCAUCUUCCUGCUGGGAAAAGAAUUUCGCCUGGAGAGGGGCUUAUGCCGUAUUAGCUAGUUGGCGGGGUAAUGGCCCACCAAGGCGAAGAUGCGUAGCGGGUGUGAGAGCACGACCCGCGCCACUGGCACUGAGACACUGGCCAGACACCUACGGGUGGCUGCAGUCGAGAAUCUUCGGCAAUGGACGCAAGUCUGACCGAGCGACGCCGCGUGCGGGAUGAAGGCCUUCGGGUUGUAAACCGCUGUCAGAGGGGAUGAAGUAUACGGGGGUUAUCCCCUGUAUUUGACAGAGCCUCAGAGGAAGCACGGGCUAAGUUCGUGCCAGCAGCCGCGGUAAUACGAACUGUGCGAACGUUAUUCGGAAUCACUGGGCUUAAAGGGUGCGUAGGCGGUUAUCUAAGUCAGGUGUGAAAUCUCUCGGCUCAACCGGGAAACUGCGCUUGAAACUGGAUGGCUAGAGUGAUGCAGGGGUGUGUGGAACUUCCGGUGGAGCGGUGAAAUGUGUAGAUAUCGGAAGGAACGCCAGCAGCGAAAGU